UUCAUUUGCCUUCGACAUGGGCAACAAACCGGUCGUAUUUCUGGAAUAAGUUACAAAAAAAAUUCAAAAUUUUUCACGUGAAAAAAGUACAGUGCUGACAAAAUGUCGGCACUGGGCUUGAUUCCUCACCCAAAUCCGAGGAAUCAAAGCCAGAAGACGAUGUUGAAGGCGCGGUUGUCGAUUCGCCUGAUGGACCAAGAUACACUAGAACUACAGUCACCACAAUGGGCUUAAGCCUUAUUACAUGUACAGUGCUGACAAAAUGUCUGCACGGGCUUGAUUCCUCGCCCAAAAUCCGAGGAAUCGAAGCCAGAAGACGAUGUUAAAGGCGGGGUUGUCGAUUCGCCUGAUGGACGGAUAUAUCAACACUAACGAACACGAAUGCCCUCUCUAUGGCUCUACGAGGCAUCCAUCCAGCUGCUGAUGAACCACAUAUCACUGCUACUGUCCAACACGUUGCUGAUAUGCUGCAAACUGCGUACGUAAUCGGCUGCCAAUCGGAUCUUUCAACAGCGUUUAAUACCUCACACGUUGCACGUUACACGGUACGACGUUUAAAUGCGGUUUACAAUUAGUCUUGCCAAUUCACACAUUUACUUAUUUGUUUUAUCGUAAACCAUUUAAAUAGAAUAAUGCAGAAAUUACUACUGACAACACUGAAGCUAACACUCAAAUGAUGCAGAAUUUGAAAUUGAAUUGAUUACACUGUUCCAUGUGUACACAAAUAAAAUAUUGUAUGCGAAAUCCCAAAGAACGAAAA